rnacentral:piRNA from 1 species
UACUAUCCAUAGUCCUGGGUCGCUGAU